ANNNNNNNNUANCACUAGUAGCGAUGUACUUCGUGCGGUUGUUAUCACCUUGCUUCUCCUUGGAUCGGAGGACUGGUGAGUAAUGCCUUGGAAUCUGCCUGGCAGUGGGGGAUAUCGCUCUUGAACCCAUGCUAAUCCGCCUACAUCCUACGGUAGAAAGAUGGGACCUUCGGGCCUUGGGCUAUCCUUGAUCCUAGGUCGGAUUAACUAAAUGGCGAGGUAUUGGCUCACCAAGGCGACGAUUCUUAACUGGCAUGAUAGGAUGAUCUUCCCCACUGGAACUGAGACACGGUCCAUACUCCUACAGGAAGCACCUGUGGGGAAUAUUGGACAAUGGGUUAAAAUCUGAUCCAGCCCUGCCUGGUGUGUGAAGAAUGUCUUCGGAUUGUAAAGCACUUUAAGUUGGGAGGAAGGGCAUUAACCUAAUACCGUGGUGUCUUGACGCCCUUCCUCGAAUAAGCACCGGCUUAACUCUGUGCCAGACCUUCGCGGUAAUACAGAGGGGGCUGGAUUAAUCGGAAUUACUGUGGCGUAAAUUCCCCGCUGGUGGCUUGUUAAGUUGGAUGUGAAAUCCCCGGGCUCCACCUGUGAAACUGCAUUCUCACUGACAAGCUACGAGAUAUGGUAGAGUGGUGGAGGAAUUUCCUCGUGUAGCUAGUGAAAUGCGACCUAUAUAUCAAAUGAACACCACUGGCGAAAGCGACCCCCUGCGACUGAUACUGACACUGAUGUGCGAAAACGUGGGGAGCACACAGCGAUUAUCAUACCCCUGGCAGGCACAUUCCUAGGCGAUGUCUCACUCGCCCUCCGGAGCCUUGAGCAGUUAGCGUCGCUCCUCACGCCCUACUUUUGAGCGCCUGGGCAGCAGCCAGCCUUCGAUCUGACUCAUGNAAANUUUAAAACAAAGCUUUAAUUCUUUGUAGUCACUAGCCCGUUCACGCGCAUAAGAG
rnacentral:rRNA from 1 species